rnacentral:tRNA from 1 species
UGGCUCAGUGGUUAAGAGCACUUGACUGAUCUUCCAGAGGUCCUGAGUUCAAUUCCCAG